CCUACGGGUGGCAGCAGUGAGGAAUAUUGGUCAAUGGCCGUAAGGCUGAACCAGCCAGUCGCGUGAAGGGAGAAGGGUCUAUGGUUUGUAAACUUCUUUUAUAGGGGAAUAAAGGUAUCCACGUGUGGAUAUUUGCAUGUACCCUAUGAAUAAGCAUCGGCUAACUCCGUGCCAGCCGCCGCGGUAAUACGGAGGAUUCGAGCGUUAUCCGGAUUUAAUGGGUUUAAAGGGUGCUGAGGUUGUUUUUUAAGUCAGCGGUGAAAGUGUGUGGCUUACCCAUAAAAUUGCCGUUGAAACUGGAAGACUUGAGUUUGUUUGAGGUAGGCGGAAUGCGUGGGGUAGCGGUGAAAUGCAUAGAUAUCACGCAGAACUCCGAUUGCGAAGGCAGCUUACUAAGCCAUAACUGACACUGAAGCACGAAAGCGUGGGGAUCAAACAGGAUUAGAUACCCUUGUAGUC
rnacentral:rRNA from 1 species